rnacentral:lncRNA from 1 species
CGUUACUUUCGCUUAAUUUUUUAUUUUUUCACCAUCUUUUCGAGAGAUUUGAAUUGAGCAAUUUUUUCUUCUUGUUGAUCUGAUCAAAUUAAUGCUAUCUCACAGCUAUGGAGUUGACACACAGUCAUCUUGUCUAAUGGAACCAACCCAAAAUUGAAGAAUACCUAUCUUGCUAACCUUACCAUAAACACGAUAGCCCACCUGAUAUGCCUGGCC